rnacentral:tRNA from 2 species
GCUCGAGUGGUGGAAUUGGUAGACACGCCGGACUUAAAAUCCUGUGCUCUUUUGGGCGUGCGGGUUCAAGUCCCGCCUCGAGUA